GGGGAAUAUUGCGCAAUGGGCGGAAGCCUGACGCAGCAACGCCGCGUGCGGGAUGAAGGCCUUCGGGUUGUAAACCGCUUUCAGCAGGGACGAAAUUGACGGUACCUGCAGAAGAAGCCCCGGCCAACUACGUGCCAGCAGCCGCGGUAACACGUAGGGGGCGAGCGUUGUCCGGAUUUAUUGGGCGUAAAGAGCUCGUAGGCGGUUCGCUAAGUCGGGUGUGAAACCUCCAGGCUCAACCUGGAGACGCCACCUGAUACUGGUGUGACUAGAGUCCGGUAGGGGAGUGUGGAACUCCUGGUGUAGCGGUGAAAUGCGCAGAUAUCAGGAAGAACACCAGCGGCGAAGGCGGCACUCUGGGCCGGAACUGACGCUGAGGAGCGAAAGCGUGGGUAGCAAAC
rnacentral:rRNA from 1 species